AAUGUUUGUUAAAAACUACGUAAUCCUCUUUAAUUUAUUGUUUUUAAAAUUAGUUUUUUGUGUCGACGACGAUUAUAACUACAGUCCCGCACUGCGUUCUACUGAAUUGAAAUGCAAAAAUCUUGCACACCAAAUUUACUGUCAGUUAAAAUGUGGCUUGCAGGCGGCCGUUUGUAUAAAUGCAGAUUGCUAUUGUCUAUCUCUUAAACUCGCAGGAGCACAGGACGAUGCUCCUCAACAUGAAAUAGAUGAAAUAAGACCAAAUGGGAGACUAGACGAAGAUGUGAAUUAUAUUGACAGCGAUGAACUACCUAUUAUUCCAAACGCAAGUCCAGAAAGAAGUGAUUCUUUUUACGCAAUACGUCCCACAGUCCGACAUCACAUCGCACACUUUUGUCCUAAUCUCGAUGUAGCCAGGGAAUGCAUCAAGAAAUGCUUGAAAGUAGGCAAGCCUGCCUUCUGUGGCAAGGACCAUGUCUGCUACUGUGGUCAUAACUACUCAAACAACGAUGAUAAUACGGCAGCUGAUGUAAAAGAAACAUACGCACAGUUCAAAGACCUAUACACUAAGUAUUUCGGAGCGGAUAGAGAUACGAUUGAAUUAGAAAUGU